UUAUAUCUGUAUUCGGAGACUGUAGUUUGUACUUGCGAUUUUGAGUUUGACUGUUCGAGGAAGAUCUUUGUUUUCUGGUUCAAACUUGCUUGGUUUGCUGUGGAUGGUGUAAAUCCAAUUCCAAUAAGAUAAUCUUAGGAUCUAGAUUGUCUCCAAUUUUGCAAGUGGAAUUGUUAUUAUCUUGGCUGGUGAGGUUUUCCAAAUAUGGAUGAAGAGAAUAAAAAAGGUGCAGAUAUUGAAAUAAAGGUUUUGUUCUUUGCAAGAGCUCGAGAUUUAGCUGGCGGCGUGUCCGAAAUGAUGCUACCAGUUCCAUCCGGAAGUACAGCUCAAGACUGUCUAAGUAAAAUCUUCACCAAGCACCCUCAAUUGGAAGAAAUUCGCGAGUGCAUGGUCCUUGCUCUUAAUUUAGAGUACGCUCCCGAGUCUGCAGUUGUUAAAGACAAAGAUGAAUUGGCCAUCAUUCCUCCAAUUAGUGGUGGCUAGAACAACGUAUUAUAUUUUGGUGCACUUGCAUUUCUUAUCAUCAGUCAUCUUUAUAUAUCUGUAUCACAUGACAAGGACAUAUCAGAAACUCAAGUAUGAAAACAUGUAUGCUGAAAUGUAUCAGAACUCAAGUUUGUGAAAUAUGAAUCAUUUCAUUAGUUUGCAUGACAAUGACACUUUAGUUC